rnacentral:rRNA from 1 species
CCCCGUCAAUUCCUUUGAGUUUCAUUCUUGCGAACGUACUCCCCAGGUGGGAUACUUAUAACUUUCGCUUAGCCACUGAAUCCGAAAACCCAACAGCAAGUAUCCAUCGUUACGGCGUGGACUACCAGGGUAUCUAAUCCUGUUCGCUCCCCACGCUUUCGUCCAUCAGCGUCAGUUGAUGUUUAGUCACCUGCCUUCGCAAUUGGUGUUCUGCGUAAUAUCUAAGCAUUUCACCGCUACACUACACAUUCCAGCAACUUCAACAUCACUCAAGACUAACAGUAUCAAUGGCAGUUUCAUAGUUAAGCUAUGAGAUUUCACCACUGACUGAUUAAUCCGCCUACGGACCCUUUAAACCCAAUAAAUCCGGAUAACGCUUGCACCCUCCGUAUUACCGCGGCUGCUGGCACGGAGUUAGCCGGUGCUUAUUCUUCUGGUACCUUCAGCUACUCACACGUGAGUAGGUUUAUCCCCAGAUAAAAGUAGUUUACAACCCAUAAGGCCGUCAUCCUACACGCGGGAUGGCUGGAUCAGGCUUCCACCCAUUGUCCAAUAUUCCUCACUGCUGCCUCCCGUAGGAGUCUGGUCCGUGUCUCAGUACCAGUGUGGGGGUUCACCCUCUCAGGCCCCCUAAAGAUCAUCGUCUUGGUGAGCCGUUACCUCACCAACUAACUAAUCUUACGCAUGCCUAUCCUACUGCGAUAAAUCUUUCAAAAAUUCAUGAUGCCAUGAUUUCUAUUAUAAAGUAUUAAUCCUCCUUUCGAAGGGCUAUCCUUUUCAGUAGGGCAAGUUGCAUACGCGUUACGCACCCGUGCGCCGGUCUCUAGUUAGCAAGCUAACUAUACCCCUCGGCUUGCAUGUGUUAAGCCUCCCGCUAGCGUUCAUCCUGAGCCAUGAUCAAACUC